rnacentral:rRNA from 1 species
GACGAACGCUGGCGGCGUGCCUAAUACAUGCAAGUCGAACGAAUCGGAGUGCUUGCAUUCCGGUUAGUGGCGGACGGGUGAGUAACACGUAGGCAACCUGCCUGCAAGACCGGGAUAACCCACGGAAACGUGAGCUAAGACCGGAUAGAUGGAGCGUGCACCUGUGCGUUCCAGGAAAGCGGGAGUAAUCUCGCACUUGGCGGAUGGGCCUGCGGCGCAUUAGCUGGUU